CUUGCAGCGCUCUUUGGUCAUGGUCAGACAAAUCAGGCCGCGCCCGUGGGUCGCCAUAAAAUUAAUCGCUUCAGGCGAAAUGUGUUCUGCGGCCAUGAUCA
rnacentral:antisense_RNA from 1 species